CAGAGGGGGACUGAGACACGGCCCCCACUCCUACGGGAGGCAGCAGCUAAGAAUAUUGCACAAUGGACGAAAGUCUGAUGCAGCGACACCGCGUGAAGGAUGAAGGCCCUAGGGUUGUAAACUUCUUUUAUUAGGGAAUAGCAAGGAAGGUACCUAAUGAAUAAGCAACGGCUAACUACGUGCCAGCAGCCGCGGUAAUACGUAGGUUGCAAACGUUGUCCGGAAUCACUGGGCGUAAAGGGUCCGUAGGCGGUUUGAUAAGUCUCAUAUGAAAGCUUCAAGCUCAACUUGGAGAUGUUGUGAGAUACUGUCAGACUAGAGACUGUUAGAGGUAAGUGGAAUUCCAGGUGUAGUGGUGAAAUGCGUAGAUAUCUGGAGGAACACCAGUGGCGAAAGCGACUUACUGGGACAGUUCUGACGCUAAGGGACGAAAGCGUGGGGAGCGAACCGGAUUAGAUACCCGGGUAGUCCACGCUGUAAACGAUGAUUGCUAGGUUUUCGGGGCAUCGACCCCUCGUGAGCCGAAGUUAACGCGUUAAGCAAUCCGCCUGAGUAGUACGGCCGCAAGGCUAAAACUCAAAGGAAUUGACGGGGGACCGCACAAGCAGCGGAGCGUGUGGUUUAAUUCGAUGGUAAGCGAAGAACCUUACCAGGGUUUGACAUGUAAGUAGUACUGAACCGAAAGGGGAUGGACCCGCAAGGGAGCUUACACAGGUGUUGCAUGGUUGUCGUCAGCUCGUGCCGUGAGGUGUUGGGUUAAGUCCCGCAACGAGCGCAACCCUCUUUGUUAGUUGCACUCUCUAACGAUACUGCCCUUAAAAGGGAGGAAGGUGGGGAUGACGUCAAAUCAUCAUGGCUCUUACACCCUGGGCUACACACACGCUACAAUGGCAAGUACAGACGGUCGCCAACCCGCGAGGGGGAGCUAAUCCGAUAAAACUUGUCUCAGUUGGGAUUGCAGGCUGAAAUUCGCCUGCAUGAACGUGGAGUUGCUAGUAAACGCAGGUCAGCACACUGCGUUGAAUACGUUCCCGGUCCUUGUACACACCGCCCGUCACGUCAUGGAAGUUGGUAACACUUGAAGUCGUUGCGCUAACCCUUUGGGAGGCAGACGCCGAGAGUGGGACUGAUGACUGGGACGAAGUCGUAACAAGGUAGCUGUACCGGAAGGUGCG
rnacentral:rRNA from 1 species